UUUCUGAUUCAAUUGGCCGUUCAAACUGAGCGGGCUUUAGGGGAAGAGAGAAACCCUAGUUUUCCGUUUCAUUUCUUCCCUCUCUCCUGCGGAAGCUGCAACUCAGUAUAGGCUCCAGGAGUAGGAGACAGCGGCUGCUAUGAACAACCACUUUGAUACCAGAUAUGGAGACCCUAACUCCUACCGUGAAAGGAGAAGUGACAUAAUGGGGCCGCCCCUUGGUGCCCCAAUCAGCAUGGCCGGAGGUGCUUUCCCCGGUGGGAUCCUUGGCCCUCGUGGAUCCCCUGUCAUCCCUGCAGCCCAGUCCCACGCUGGGGUAGACCCUGCUCCCUUUAGAGGCGGCAGCACGGUCAGUGGGCCUGCAAGGGGUGGCUUUAAUGGAAUGUCAACCUUACCCUCUAGCAUCGGGCGAGGGCGCGAAGGCCCACCACCACAUGGAAGAGGCCGAGGAUUCGAUGGAGUUCGUGGGGGGCGGGGUGAUCGUGGCGGUCGACGAGGGGGAUUAGGUGGUGGUGGGGUCCGCAAUGGAAGAGGGAGGGAGCAUGACAUGGAUGGCGGGAGAGGAGGGUUUAGUGGGGCUCGCUCUGGUGGUAGGGGUCACGAAGGGGGUCGAGGGGGACGUCGGGAUUUUGAUGCUGGUCGAGGACGAGGAGGAGGCAGAGGUUUUGACAGGGGUCGUGGGGGUAGGGGGAGAGGCUACGGUGCUGGGUCCAAGAGUGAAUUGGAUAGCAUUGAACUUCCUCCUGAGGAUUUCGGGGAGUUGAUACCCUUUGAGAAGAACUUCUAUGUAGAGAACCCAGCCGUGCAAGUGAUGUCGGAACAAGAUGUUGUGCUCUAUCGUAAGAGUCGUGAUAUAACAGUUGAGGGUCGGGAUGUUCCAAAGCCUAUCCGUUAUUUUCAUGAGGCCAACUUUCCGGAUUACUGCCUUCAAGUGAUCACAAAAUGUGGUUUUGUACAACCUACUCCUAUCCAAUCUCAAGGAUGGCCAAUGGCUUUGAAGGGUAGGGAUUUAAUUGGUAUUGCUGAAACUGGUUCAGGGAAAACGCUGGCCUAUCUUUUACCGGCCUUGGUACAUGUGAAUGCACAACCUCGUCUUGCUCGUGGUGAAGGUCCUAUUGUCUUGGUCCUAGCACCUACUAGGGAAUUGGCUGUUCAGAUUCAGCAAGAAGCUGAAAAAUUUGCGUCACAUUCCAAUGUUAGAAUUACGUGCAUAUAUGGUGGUGCCCCUAAGGGACCCCAAAUUCGAGAUCUUCAAAAAGGGGUUCAGAUUGUCAUUGCAACACCUGGUCGACUAAUUGAUAUGCUAGAAGCUCAUCACACAAACUUGCGAAGAGUUACGUACCUUGUUUUGGAUGAGGCAGACCGUAUGUUGGAUAUGGGAUUUGAACCUCAGAUUAGAAAAAUUGUUGCUCAGAUUCGACCCGAUAGGCAGACAUUGUAUUGGAGUGCCACUUGGCCAAGAGAGGUGGAGGCUUUGGCCAGGCAGUUCUUACGUAAUCCAUACAAGGUCAUCAUUGGAUCAGCAGAUCUGAAAGCUAAUCAAUCUAUCAACCAAAUUGUUGAAGUUGUGGGGGAGACUGAAAAGUACCCUAGGCUGAUCAAGCUUUUGCAGCAAAUCAUGGAUGGAAGCCGGAUCCUCAUUUUUAUGGAGACGAAAAAGGGUUGUGAUCAGGUCACCAGGCAACUGAGAAUGGAUGGAUGGCCAGCCUUGUCCAUUCAUGGCGAUAAAAGCCAAGCUGAGAGGGACUGGGUUCUGGCUGAGUUUAAGAAUGGAAGAAGUCCUAUUAUGACGGCCACUGAUGUAGCUGCUCGUGGUCUUGGUAUAGCCCAUUUAUGCUUGAAGUCUUAUAUCUCAUUUAGUCGAAUUGCUGGUGGUUGGAGGAGUCAGCGGGCUGCUUGCCAGUGUUUAAAGGAGAAUGGAGUUCGGUGGGUGGCGGCGUGUGAUUGUACCCUCAUUCUAAAGGCCUGGAAAAGUGUUGGGAAAUAAAAAAAAACUGAAACUUUAGAUGUUUCAUCCCGAGCAUGAGUGUUCUCUAGUCGUUGGAGAUCUAUUAUUUUUCUGACCUUGUUAAAUGGUCUCUUGUGAAUUUAUCCUUCGGUCCCUUCACAGGUUGGUUCCCAUAGAAAAUUCUCUGCUCGGGUUGUUUUGUGUUCGCCGCCAUCCACAGUUUAUGGAGCUGGUUUCAUGUGGCAGCCCGAUCGACUCAGUGCACAAAAAACGUGGUGGCCCUUAUCCCUGCAAGACGUGAAGGACAUAAAAUGUGUCAUAAACUAUGAUUUUCCUGGAUCCCUUGAGGACUAUGUUCAUCGGAUUGGCCGAACAGGA